rnacentral:tRNA from 1 species
GGUCGCAUGGCCCAAUGGCAAGGCGCUUGACUACGAUCCUCAUAUCCGAAAUCAAGAGAUUCCAGGUUCGACCCCUGGUGCGAUCA